rnacentral:lncRNA from 1 species
AAUUACGCUCUUUAAAGCUUGGUGCAUUAUUUGGAUAGAUGGAUAGAUAUCUUCUCCUAAUAUGCUGACUAAAGACAUGAGUACGUUGGCAUUUUGGGAUCUGUAGAAGAUGAAGCGGGGGAAGAGGGUCACACAGUUCAAUAGACUCCUUGAGCACAUGCCAAACUAGAAAUGUGAAGAACCUCAGUACUACUGAUUCAGCGACUGAACCCAAAUGCCCCCUCCUAGUUUUUCCUGAAGAGUGGGG